GCUAGAAAGAGGAAUGGGUGGAUUUUCCCGUCCUUCCUAGAGUCUUUUGAAGAUGAUUUAAACCAUCUAGAUAUUAUUUCUGAAAAGGAUGCAUAGUAGUUUUCAUGAAGUUAUUUAUUUUUGAGGGAAAUUCUAGGUGCUGACAUUUCUCCCUGCUGCUCCAGGUAACACAGUAAGAAACUCCAAAAAGAGCAGUUAUGAUUUACCAAAUUGAAGUUUACGUCAUGUUUAUAAAGACAAACAUAGAUUCACAAUAUAUGAGGUAUGUCACAACCCACUUGUCUUUUAAACCCCACGACAUUCCUCUAUGUCAUCCAUUGUAGGAAAAAUAAUUUUUUGAAACCUUUAGAUAACACCUGAAGACAUUUCUGGAGUUCAGGGGCAUGUUAAUCUGUACAGAAAGGAAAACCAUUAUCUGCAAUACCUUUUCAUUAUUUAUUUGCUCCACAAAUAUCUAAGUGAUGCCUUAAGAAGUUGCUCUGUGCCUAAAGGAAAACAGCUGUCCUUGUCAGGGAGGAGGGGCCUGUAAAUGGAUUAAAAACGUCACAAUGGGGAACAGACUUGGGCAGGAGCCGGCACGAAGGCCAAAGUAAGAUUCCGUGAAGAGUAGGCCACUGAUUCUCAGGGAGGGGUUGAGUGUGAUCAGACACCGCACAGGCCUUUGGGGAAACACCACUAAGGGCACAAGAAGCCAAGUAAUUGCUUGUGUGAGGAAGAUUGAAAACGAUCAUGGUAAGGCCUGAUCAAAUGAAGACCUGAUUCAAUAUUCAGAAACACACAUGAAAUAUGUGAAAACAAGAUUAUGAUAUUACAAAGGAACAUCAUGGAAGAUUCUAAGUGUCCAGUGGACAGCUGAAUAAACACAACAGAAGUGUGCUUGGACAUAA